UGUCAAUAUGCUGGUGACCUGAUUCCUUUUCAAUUUCCUGACAGGCCUGAGGAGCUUGUUAAAUGCCAAAGUGAAUUCCCUCAGUCUCUCUUCCUCCCCACACAGACACUGACUGGUUCUGAGUCACUGAAACUGUUGUGUUCUUUUUGGGCCCCUCCACCACCUGCCAUCAUAUGCCUCAGAGGUCAUCAUUACUGCUAAAUGAAAAUGCAGGCAGGCGAGGUAACAGACCACCAACUCAAGAAACCAGGAGCCACUCUGAAUCUUGGCUGCUGUCACUGACAUCCCACACCUGUGCUGAGACCCACAGCUACUGAAAUCAGCUCGCAACUGAAACCCUCACACACAAUAAAAGGGAAAGACCCCGAGGACCUGGGUGCUCACUCGACACAAAGCCAGAGAUGACUGAGCAUGCAGUGUCUAUUUCCUGUUUAAUGCAUUGCAUGCAGUGUGAGGCGCCUCAUUCCUGCCAGCUCAGUUCACAAAAGAUAACUGAAGAAACAGCUCCCUACCUCACUGAAAAUGGAUGAGGAACUGUGAAUUUGGCUACAAGAUACUCGACAGUAGGCAAUUCCUUAAUGGUAUGAGAACAGCCUGCAAAAUAGCCAGUAGAAGGUGAGUGGCAACAUCCACCCGUGAUUCAGACCUCUUAGCAGACCGCAAGCAGACAGGGAAUCCUUCACUUCAUUUUUUAAAUAUCUAUUAAAAUCCCACGGUAGGUACUGUUCCCCACGGCAAUCCUCUCUGAAAUGAGAACCGGGCAAGGUACUCUCAGGCCAGCCUGAUAAGAAAGAAAGAAAGCCUGCAAGGGCUGGAAACAAAGAGGCAAAUCCCCUCAGGAGACUGGCCCGUUGGACCUCAUUAAUGAGAUUUCUCAUUUUUUUUUGGGGGGGGGGAGUGUCUGUCCAUGGGCACAUCAUGAAGAGAUCAACAAGUAAUCGGCCAGGCUACCCAACUGUGGCUCUCCACAGAUCCGCCCUGCUGAGCAGUGUGUUGAG